UUGAACGCUGGCGGCAGGCCUAACACAUGCAAGUCGAGCGGUAGCACAGAGAGCUUGCUCUCGGGUGACGAGCGGCGGACGGGUGAGUAAUGUCUGGGAAACUGCCUGAUGGAGGGGGAUAACUACUGGAAACGGUAGCUAAUACCGCAUAAUGUCGCAAGACCAAAGUGGGGGACCUUCGGGCCUCAUGCCAUCAGAUGUGCCCAGAUGGGAUUAGCUAGUAGGUGGGGUAACGGCUCACCUAGGCGACGAUCCCUAGCUGGUCUGAGAGGAUGACCAGCCACACUGGAACUGAGACACGGUCCAGACUCCUACGGGAGGCAGCAGUGGGGAAUAUUGCACAAUGGGCGCAAGCCUGAUGCAGCCAUGCCGCGUGUGUGAAGAAGGCCUUCGGGUUGUAAAGCACUUUCAGCGGGGAGGAAGGCGUUAAGGUUAAUAACCUUGGCGAUUGACGUUACCCGCAGAAGAAGCACCGGCUAACUCCGUGCCAGCAGCCGCGGUAAUACGGAGGGUGCAAGCGUUAAUCGGAAUUACUGGGCGUAAAGCGCACGCAGGCGGUCUGUCAAGUCGGAUGUGAAAUCCCCGGGCUCAACCUGGGAACUGCAUUCGAAACUGGCAGGCUAGAGUCUUGUAGAGGGGGGUAGAAUUCCAGGUGUAGCGGUGAAAUGCGUAGAGAUCUGGAGGAAUACCGGUGGCGAAGGCGGCCCCCUGGACAAAGACUGACGCUCAGGUGCGAAAGCGUGGGGAGCAAACAGGAUUAGAUACCCUGGUAGUCCACGCCGUAAACGAUGUCGAUUUGGAGGUUGUGCCCUUGAGGCGUGGCUUCCGGAGCUAACGCGUUAAAUCGACCGCCUGGGGAGUACGGCCGCAAGGUUAAAACUCAAAUGAAUUGACGGGGGCCCGCACAAGCGGUGGAGCAUGUGGUUUAAUUCGAUGCAACGCGAAGAACCUUACCUGGUCUUGACAUCCACAGAACUUAGCAGAGAUGCUUUGGUGCCUUCGGGAACUGUGAGACAGGUGCUGCAUGGCUGUCGUCAGCUCGUGUUGUGAAAUGUUGGGUUAAGUCCCGCAACGAGCGCAACCCUUAUCCUUUGUUGCCAGCGGUUAGGCCGGGAACUCAAAGGAGACUGCCAGUGAUAAACUGGAGGAAGGUGGGGAUGACGUCAAGUCAUCAUGGCCCUUACGACCAGGGCUACACACGUGCUACAAUGGCAUAUACAAAGAGAAGCGACCUCGCGAGAGCAAGCGGACCUCAUAAAGUAUGUCGUAGUCCGGAUUGGAGUCUGCAACUCGACUCCAUGAAGUCGGAAUCGCUAGUAAUCGUAGAUCAGAAUGCUACGGUGAAUACGUUCCCGGGCCUUGUACACACCGCCCGUCACACCAUGGGAGUGGGUUGCAAAAGAAGUAGGUAGCUUAACCUUCGGGAGGGCGCUUACCACUUUGUGAUUCAUGACUGGGGUG
rnacentral:rRNA from 1 species